rnacentral:misc_RNA from 1 species
GUGAAUCAUCGAAUUUUUGAACGCAAAUUGCACUCUCCUCUGAGAGUAUGCCUGUUUGAGUGUCAGCCUAUAAAAAUCGACAUCGUUUCUCUUUCUCUGGGGCGUUCGUCUGAAAUUGGGUCAUCUUAAAUCCUUUUGAUUUAAGCUACUUAAAAUUUUCUCGUGGUUCCAUGAACGUUUCUAAGAUCUAUUUCUUUACACGUUUAAGGUAUCGAUUUUUACUAGACGUGUCAAUUAUAUCUGAUCUCGUCCAUAAUCUUUCAUUAAUUCACC